rnacentral:rRNA from 1 species
AUGUCUGGCGCCGGCGAUCUUCCUCAUCCCCACGCCGCCCUCUGGGCUCAGGCCACUGCCAUCCAAAACGUCAAGAGCCUGAUCCCAGUCACCCUCGACCUCAAGGCCGCAAACUUCACCAAGUGGCGUCGCUUCCUCGACAUCGCCGUCAGCCAAUACGCCCUCGCGGAUCACCUCGACGCGGCGCCUCCUUCGGUCGACGAGGAAUGGCAGCGUAUGGACUCCAUCGUCCUUCGUUGGCUGUACGGCUUCAUCGCUCCCGACAUCUCCGACAUGGUCAUGGCGGCGGGCACAACGGCCUCCGCCAUCCCCGGCGCCAUCACCGCCCUCUUCCGCGACAACCAGCAAGCCCGUGCCGGCUAUCUUGGCCAGAAUUUCCGCAACAUCGAGCAGUUGGACAAGAGUGUCACCGCCUAUUGCCUUGAGUAG